UUGAGCAAGGGCCAUAGAACCCUUACCAUUACUGAAACUCAGUAAUGGUAACGGUUUGACGGCCCUCCUCAGC
rnacentral:pre_miRNA from 1 species